AUUUGUUUUUUUUUGUUCAUUCUAUGAUUAAAUUUUCCAUACACUUUCUAUGUGCGGAGUUUUGUUAUAUGAUCAUUCAAGGUGACCAGGAACAAAGCAUUCAUGAAGACUAUUUCAGCAUAGGGAACGAAGGUAUCAGAAAACCUGAAUUGUUGAUAAUAUCAAUUUCAGACAAUCUUUAGAUAAUAUAAAUUAGCUGAGUCAUG